CGCACAUUGCGCCCUUUGGUAUUCCGAAGGGCAUGCCUGUUCGAGCGUCAUUAUCACCCCUCAGGCCCUGGGCUUGGUGUUGGACGGCCGGUCGAGCGAUCGACCCCUCCUAAAGACAAUGACGGCGGCCUGUGGUUCCCCCGGUACACUGAGCUUUUUAUCGAGCACGUACCGGACGAGGGCACCCGGGACCCGGUCCCCCUCCUUGCUGCAAGGAAACUUCUAUGGUUGACCUCGGAUCAGGUAGGAAUACGCGCUGAACUUAA
rnacentral:misc_RNA from 1 species